rnacentral:rRNA from 1 species
GAUGAACGCUAGCUACAGGCUUAACACAUGCAAGUCGAGGGGUAACAGGGUAGCAAUACCGCUGACGACCGGCGCACGGGUGAGUAACACGUAUCCAACCUGCCAUUAACUCGGGGAUAGCCUUUCGAAAGAAAGAUUAAUACCCGAUAGUAUAAGUUUUCCGCAUGGUUAACUUAUUAAAGAAUUUCGGUUAUUGAUGGGGAUGCGUUCCAUUAGAUAGUAGGUGAGGUAACGGCCCACCUAGUCAGCGAUGGAUAGGGGUUCUGAGAGGAAGGUCCCCCACACUGGUACUGAGACACGGACCAGACUCCUACGGGAGGCAGCAGUGAGGAAUAUUGGUCAAUGGGCGGGAGCCUGAACCAGCCAAGUAGCGUGAAGGAUGACUGCCCUAUGGGUUGUAAACUUCUUUUAUAUGGGAAUAACAUCAUCCACGUGUGGAUGCCUGUAUGUACCAUAUGAAUAAGCAUCGGCUAACUCCGUGCCAGCAGCCGCGGUAAUACGGAGGAUGCGAGCGUUAUCCGGAUUUAUUGGGUUUAAAGGGUGCGUAGGUGGAAUGAUAAGUCAGUUGUGAAAGUUUGAGGCUCAACCUUAAAAUUGCAAUUGAUACUGUUAUUCUUGAGUACAGUUGAGGUAGGCGGAAUUCGUAGUGUAGCGGUGAAAUGCUUAGAUAUUACGAAGAACUCCGAUUGCGUAGGCAGCUUACUAAACUGUAACUGACACUGAGGCACGAAAGUGUGGGUAUCAAACAGGAUUAGAUACCCUGGUAGUCCACACAGUAAACGAUGAAUACUCGCUGUUUGCGAUAUACAGUAAGCGGCCAAGCGAAAGCAUUAAGUAUUCCACCUGGGGAGUACGCCGGCAACGGUGAAACUCAAAGGAAUUGACGGGGGCCCGCACAAGCGGAGGAACAUGUGGCUUAAUUCGAUGAUACGCGAGGAACCUUACCCGGGCUUGAAAUGUAACUGAAUAUUUUUGAAAGAGAAUAGCCGCAAGGCAGUUAUGUAGGUGCUGCAUGGUUGUCGUCAGCUCGUGCCGUGAGGUGUCGGCUUAAGUGCCAUAACGAGCGCAACCCUUGUCAUUAGUUACUAACAGGUUAAGCUGAGGACUCUAGUGAGACUGCCAUCGUAAGAUGUGAGGAAGGUGGGGAUGACGUCAAAUCAGCACGGCCCUUACGUCCGGGGCUACACACGUGUUACAAUGGGGGGUACAGAAGGUUGCUACCUGGUGACAGGAUGCUAAUCCGUUAAAACCUCUCUCAGUUCGGAUCGAAGUCUGCAACCCGACUUCGUGAAGCUGGAUUCGCUAGUAAUCGCGCAUCAGCCACGGCGCGGUGAAUACGUUCCCGGGCCUUGUACACACCGCCCGUCAAGCCAUGGGAGCCGGGGGUACCUGAAGUACGUAACCGUUAAGGAGCGUCCUAGGGUAAAACUGGUGACUGGGGC